GCGUGAGGGAGGAGGCUCUUGGGUCGUAAACCUCUUUUCUCAGGGAAGAACAAAAUGACGGUACCUGAGGAAUAARCAUCGGCUAACUCCGUGCCAGCAGCCGCGGUAAUACGGAGGAUGCAAGCGUUAUCCGGAAUGAUUGGGCGUAAAGCGUCCGCAGGUGGCAAUGUAAGUCUGCUGUUAAAGAGUCUAGCUCAACUAGAUAAGAGCAGUGGAAACUACAUAGCUAGAGUACGUUCGGGGCAGAGGGAAUUCCUGGUGUAGCGGUGAAAUGCGUAGAGAUCAGGAAGAACACCGGUGGCGAAGGCGCUCUGCUAGGCCGUAACUGACACUGAGGGACGAAAGCUAGGGGAGCGAAUGGGAUUAGAUACCCCAGUAGUCCUAGCCGUAAACGAUGGAUACUAGGCGUGGCUUGUAUCGACCCGAGCCGUGCCGUAGCUAACGCGUUAAGUAUCCCGCCUGGGGAGUACGCCGGCAACGGUGAAACUCAAAGGAAUUGACGGGGGCCCGCACAAGCGGUGGAGUAUGUGGUUUAAUUCGAUGCAACGCGAAGAACCUUACCAAGGCUUGACAUGUCGCGAAUUCCGGUGAAAGCUGGGAGUGCCUUCGGGAGCGCGAACACAGGUGGUGCAUGGCUGUCGUCAGCUCGUGUCGUGAGAUGUUGGGUUAAGUCCCGCAACGAGCGCAACCCUCGUUUUUAGUUGCCAGCAUUAAGUUGGGCACUCUAGAGAGACUGCCGGUGACAAACCGGAGGAAGGUGGGGAUGACGUCAAGUCAGCAUGCCCCUUACGCCUUGGGCUACACACGUACUACAAUGCUCCGGACAGAGGGCAGCAAGCAUGCGAAUGCAAGCAAAUCCCGGAAACCGGAGCUCAGUUCAGAUCGCAGGCUGCAACUCGCCUGCGUGAAGGAGGAAUCGCUAGUAAUUGCAGGUCAGCAUACUGCAGUGAAUUCGUUCCCGGGCCUUGUACACACCGCCCGUCACACCAUGGAAGCUGGUAGUGCCCGAAGUCAUUACUCCAACCUUUCGGGGAGGAGGAUGCCUAAGGCAGGACUGGUGACUGGGGUGAAGUCGUAACAAGGUAGCCGUACCGGAAGGUGUGGCUGGAUCACCUCCU
rnacentral:rRNA from 1 species